rnacentral:rRNA from 1 species
AUUGAACGCUGGCGGCAGGCCUAACACAUGCAAGUCGAACGAGCGGCGGACGGGUGAGUAAUGUAUGAGGAUCUGGCCAAUAGAGGGGGAUAACGGCUGGAAAAGGUGGCUACUACCGCAUAAUAUCGGAUGGACCCAUAUGGGAUUAGCUAGUUGGUGGGGUAAAGGCUCACCUAGGCGACGAUCUCUAGCUGGUCUGAGAGGAUGAUCAGCCACACUGGGACUGAGACACGGCCCAGACUCCUACGGGAGGCAGCAGUGGGGAAUAUUGCACAAUGGGCGCAAGCCUGAUGCAGCCAUGCCGCGUGUAUGAAGAAGGCCUUAGGGUUGUAAAGUACUUUCAGCGGGGAGGCGUUACCCGCAGAAGAAGCACCGGCUAACUCCGUGCCAGCAGCCGCGGUAAUAC